UGCCCCCGCCCUUCCUCCUUCCCGCGUAGAAACUGAUCCACGUGUUUUCCAUUGUUUCGUUUUGCCGCUGGAGGUUUGCGGUGUUGGAUAUAUUUUGCUCAUCAGCCAGUGAGUGAUUUAGGAACAGUUCCUCUGCGGAUAGCCAGUUUCCAAUUUCAGUAUAGUCCAAAAUUUAAUCUGAAACCAAGUCCCAUGAUUUUUGUCUUGUAAAAUAAAGAAUGUUGUCCACCAUCCUGCUUUACAAGGAUCAAGUCAUUCCCUGCAGUUGUUGACUCACAGUACAACCUGGAAGGAAUUCAGGACGAAGAACAGGAGGAGGUGCUCUGAGCUUUUGGAGAACAGUUUCCGUGGACUGUUUUUACCCAUUAAGGAUAUUGCAGUGGUGUCCUAGAUUAAAGGAAAAAGAUUACAACUUUGGAUCGGAGUUCAUUUUGCACUUCCAUGGCAAAAAACAACUGAAGUUUCUUCAAUUUUACUGCCAAAGAAGUAUGAACAGAAGCAACAUCAGAAAAACUAACUACUGGAAUCAAGGUAUAAAGUAAAUCUUUGAAAAAAGUACAAUGCCUGUAUCUAAACAAAUGUAUUCCACAGGCUUCCCGCACCGAUGCAUUUACAGACUUGGUAAACUGAUGCCUCCUGAGACAUCAAGUAUCUUGUUCAGGUGGGGAGAGCCAAAAGUGCUAAUAUCCUGUGCAUGUAACUCUACAUCCCGCAUCAGCAACUUCCCAAUACAUGCAUGACAACUUACUUGGAAAAACAACGGAAAGGAAAAAGACAAUAUCAUAAGGUGGAUAACGUUACUAAAUCUUAGUAAAAACCACAACUAAAAAUUUUAAA